CAGAGUCACCCAGUGAGUUUCUUGGCUGAGUGGAGAUUUGAACUCAGGUCUCCCUGGUCCUAGUCCAACACUCUAACCACUACACCACACUGACUCUCAGUGUGCCCCUCAGAAAGAACCCAGUGCAUCCUCCAGAGUCAUUAUCACUUCACUUGGCAGUCCAUGACUUCAUUCAGAAUCCAUUUCACUUCCUUUUAACAGUGUUUACCUCAAGCACAUUGUGUGCUGUCCCCUUUAACUGUUAACAUGUGGAGUGAUUGUUGUACAGAAUACUUUUGUUUUCAGGAGCCAGUGGAGGCUGCUGUUGCAUGGAUAUGCCCAAUGGAUUAUUUGGCCCUGCUUAAAUCACAUCACAAUGAAAGCGUCAACAUCUCUGAGAAUAUGUGAGGCAGCUUGUCAUUUCUCCUCUUGAAGUCAGUCAGGAAAUACGCACAUUGUGUGCGGACCGGCACCCCUCCUAGAAGAAAAGAAAUAAUUGGACACACUGCAAAUAAAUGAACAUCUGCACAUGAAAAAAUUCAUAUAUUAGUUGAAUUGUAGCACUGUGGACCCAUCUGAACUGCCAAGGCACUUCAAAGCCCUGCAGGUCAUUUAUCAUCCUCCUGACGCUGCAAAUGUUCAGCCUCAGCUGAGUGCCAGAGAUUUGUUAUGACUUGAGAGCCGGCUGACAGGCAGGCCUGCCGCACUAAAAGGAUUCCUCUUUGUCACACUGCGAAAACAUCAAUGUUCCUAUAAUGGCCUACAACUGUCAAAGGGGACUGCCACCUGACAAUUGUGUGGUCUCACUAAUUUGCAGCCCAGCUACUUGUUUCUAUGAAUGUUUCGGCUCAAUUUUGGUGUCACAUACAAACAGCUCGCCAUCUGUUGUCCUCUGCCAGGGGACCCAGCAGGAAGCAGGGAUCACCACACUAUGGGAGAACAGGGCCAGGGAGUGAGACAAGGCAGUGGGUUAGGAGAGGAACAACCGGUCAAUGAAUGGACUAGAAAUGGCUGCACACGCACACAAGACACAUCUUGAUGGUCCCUGAAUGUGUUGGGGAUGUGUGCACUUCUUAAAAGUUGCAGUGAAAAUGGAUACGUGGGCGUGGGGGUGGGGGGAGAAAAGAACUUGCAAACAGCCAGAGAGAGAGAGAGAGAGGGAAGGAGAGAGGGAGAAAAUAUCAGGCUUUUGUUUCCUUUCCCAGGCCAUGACAUGAUUAAUCGUUUUCUUCUGAUCUAAUUUUGGAACAUGAAAAACAGCACAUUUGUCUUGAAGAAAAAUGAUGUGCCGUACUGUGCAGAUGGAAAUUUCGAGCAAUGAAAAAGAUUAAAGUGAAAUUCCACUCCUUAGACCUAAUCAUGAGUUGUAGAUUAUUCUGUCGUUCUAACCAGAUGGUAGGCUUGAUUCUGCAGCCCCCUUCUUAUAUUAAUGAAUUCUAGACUGUUAUAUUUGACUUAGGUAAGUGAAAUGUCUAUCAACCCUAAUGGACUGCCAGCCAGCAUAACACAUGUUGUACCACUGAGGGUCCUUGCUUCAUUUUUCAUGUUUUAUACUAAUGUAGAACAUUUUUGUUUCCUACUGUUUUCCAUCAUUGUCACUGUUUGCUAAAUAUUUUCACAU